UACGUAGGUGGCAAGCGUUGUCCGGAUUUACUGGGCGUAAAGAGCGCGCAGGCGGUCGUUCAAGUCGCGUGUGAAAGCCCCCGGCUCAACUGGGGAGGGUCACGCGAUACUGAUCGACUGGAAGGCAGGAGAGGGUAGUGGAAUUCCCGGUGUAGUGGUGAAAUGCGUAGAUAUCGGGAGGAACACCAGUGGCGAAGGCGGCAUCCUGGACCAUAUUGAACGCUGAGGAGCGAAAAGCCAGGGGAGCAAAGCGGG
rnacentral:rRNA from 1 species